GGCUGCCUCGAGUUUGUUAUCUCAUUGGAAACAUUUAUGUCUGGCCUAGCAGGUGAUCCUAGGGCUUGGCCCGCUUGGCCCUAGAAUUUGAUGGCCUCUGGCAGCGUUUCUGGCCUGAAUAGCGUCCCCAUGUGGUGCACAAAGCAUUGGUUUCACCUGUUCCUCACAUUGUUUAGGUUUUUUCUUUUCGCAGACUAUGACAGGGCCUUUGCAGAUGCCUCCAGAGCUUGCCUCUCCUGCAGAGGAUGACUUGUUGAUGCCCCAGGUGCCUUCUUCAGGAAGGAGGCGUCUUCAGAGGCAGGAAAAAGCAUAGCAGGGAUGAUGCUUACACCUCCUUGCAGGUAAAUCAUCACUGGGCUCUGAUGAUGAUUCAGACAUCACCUUGGACCUCUCCAGGGGUCAGGGUGAGGCUGUUCCAGGUCUUUAGGGAGCAUCCUGGAUAGCUCAGCUGGUCAGCGUAUGGUGCCGGUAAUGCCUAGGUUGCAGGAUUGGUCCCUGUAUGGGACAGCUGCAUGCUCCCUCAUCACUUUACCCGGACACUGAGGUCCAGUGCCGAGGGCCUUUCUGGUGGUUCCCUCACUGUGAGAAGCCAAGUUACAGGGAACCAGGUGGAGGGCUUUCUCGGAAGUGGCACCUGCCCUGUGGUACACCCUCCCACCAGAUGUCUACUACCAGACUUUUAGAAGACAUCUAAGGCAGCCCUGUUUAGGGAAGCUUUUAAUGUUUGAUGCAUUACUGUAUUUUAAUAUUUUGUUGGAAGCUGCCCAGAGUGGCUGGGGAAGCCCAGCCAGAUGGGCGGGGUACAAAUAGAUGAUGAUGAUGAUGAUGAUGAUGAUGAUAUUGUGGGAGAGUGGACUAGAUGAUCCUAGGAGUCCCUUCCAACCCCACUAUUCUAUAAGUGGUAAUUCACUAUGAUGGGAAUGUUAGACGCAGGGCUGCCAUCAUCCCCUUAGCUCGCUAGGAUCGCAGGGACGGGGACAUGUGGACCACUUGCGCAGCUCCACAUUUCAAAUGGAAAUUCCCUGAGCAAUAGAACCUGAAGCUGGUAUGCAGGAAGCUGGCCCGGUGGCAGCUUUGUUGGGACUUCUUUAGGGUCUCUGGCCAGUGUUGGCCCUGUAAAUUUACACAUCAUGGUGGCAACACAAGGCAGGGCUUCUUGCCCAAGCGGGGCUGGCAAGCAAUAACUCAAUACCUCUCGCCCAUAUUUCCAUAAAAAUAUCUCCCUUUAAAGCCUGGCUAAAAGGUUAUCUAGAUGCGUCAGUAGCUUUGUGCUUGUGGGAAGGGUUUUUCUCCAAGGUUUCGGGAUUCCUCUGGCUUUUCAGCCAGUGGCUCAGAAUACAGCAACUCAAAAGUCAGUUAGAGUCUGUGGUAGCCAGAAAGUCUGUGGUAGCCAGAAAGAAGGUUAGGAAGCAGCUUGCAUUGGGACGUAUGGUGGGAUCCCCUUGAUUCUCCUUCUAGUCCCGAUUUUCAUUUAUCCCCAUUGGGGAUCGUCCCUAAGAAAGCCCCAUAUAAUUCCAUCUGAUCCAUAUUUAUCGCACCCCAAAGGCACCUCAGUGAAUGAUGCUAUCCCUCCGGAAUUGUUCCGUGAAAUAUGCAUCUUUGGAUCAGGCAGUUGAGCUUACCAACAAAUUGGAGGAGGUGCCUUGUUGGCAUUAUGCGAUAUUGAAUCGGCUGUUAGGCUGCUGCCGGUUCACCCUCAAGAUUUUAAGUAGUUAGGCUUUAAUUGGAUGGUCCUUAUAUGGAUAAGGCGAUGCCAGUUGGUUGCUCAAUAGGCUGUGCAGCACUUGAGUCCUUUAGCGCCUUUCUGGAUUGAACAUUGCGAGUCAAGACUCUUUUAACUGGGGGUAUCGUUAUGUGGAUUAUUUUACUGGCUGGUUCAUGUGACACCAGCCUCUGCUUAGCUUACUAGAUGCCCCUUUAUUCCCUGAGGAGCUGGGUGUUCUGUUGGCAGUGGAGGACAGUGGCUCCUACUGCCCCUUUUAAUGUAUUUGGGGGCUAGCUGGAUACCGUUGCUCAAACAUCUGCUUGCCUGUGGAAAAGCUGUUUGCCUUGAAGGAUGUUAUUCUUGUAAUACUUCCUCUGAGGCAAGUGUUGCUUUGUCAGAUCCUAUCAUUCCUAGGUCAGUUAAAUUUUGCAUGCAGGGUGGUUGCUCCAGGCUGCCCCUUCCAUUCCUGCUUGGCCAGGUGGUCUCAUGGCCCGGUGUCCCUUCAUCAUCAUGUACAGUGGCCUUGAGCCUGGCAGGGCAAGGCAAUCACAUGUAACCUAACUUUCUUGAGUUUUCCUCAUUGUAGUGUCAGCGCACAUCUGGACUGAGGAGUUUAGGGACCGUCAGGUCUGUCUUGGUCUGAUAACCAGGCAGUGUGAGAGUCCUGGCAAAACGGUCUUCAUGCUCUGGCAGAGUCUUCGCACUGCUUAAGGUUUAAUAUUGCGUUUCUGCUCACUUUAUUUCGGGAUCAUCUAAUGUUUUUGCUGUGGCUCUAUCCCGUUUUUUCAGUUGGAGAGCUUCAGAUCCUGGGCUCUGGACACCCAGCUAUUUUUCUGGAGCUCCUGUGGCACUUGGCGACAAUUAAUAAUUAUGAGGAAUAGUAGCUUACGUUUCCCCAUCCGCUUUCAGGUCUUAUGAGAAGGCCUGGACUGAUUUCUUAAAAUUUAGCUGGUAGUCCUCGGCCAUUCAGAGGAACCUGCCCCCAUCCUCUGAGCAGGACCUGCAGUAAUUCGCCCACCUGCUGCAGAUAGGAUGCAGUGUUAAAACUAUCAGAAUUCAGUCCGCUGCAAUGUCUGCUAGAGUAAAGCUUUAAUUUUCAGAGACCCUUCUAAAAGUGUGUCAUGCGCAGGGUCUCGGAAGGUUGGAAUAGGCUCUGACCUUCACAGGACAGCAGGCAGGAAGCCGGUCAAUCUUUGACCUAUGCAGUAUCUGCAACAAGUUGAGACUUGUUGGCUGGUUCAAGAUCAAGACGAGACUUAUUUCAGUAUUCCAUUGUAAUUUUGGUGUACUGAGGGUUGGGGAAAUUGUGUUGGAGCCAGCACGGGGCUGAGAGUUUGGAGGCUUAUUGCCACAGGACUUUUCCUUAUCUGCUUUGGAGCUUGUCAUAAGUGUCUGGAGCUCUAAGUCAGACCUAGUGAGCAGGGUUGCCACCAUCAGGCUUCCAGUCACAGGUGAGGUGGGCCCUUGCCCUGUUAUUGGAUACCGGAAAUAUUUGGCUUUUCGUUCCCCUGGGGGCUGGCUCAAUCCUAGUGCACAGAAAUGGGUUCCGGUUCGACAGGCAUCUAAUUGCUCACGUCGUGCGCCAGUUAUUGCAGCCUGCGGCUUGCCUACCGCUGAACACGCCUCAUUCCUUCCAAAUAGGUGCUGCUGCAAAGGCUGCGCAUUGGGGCCUGUUAGUAGACAGGAUUGUGAAUACGGGUCAUUGGAAGUCUGACGCUGACAAAGGUUAUGUCAGGAAGCAUCGCCAAUGAUGCCUGUGCUGAUGCCUGUCUGUUAUUCCUUUUUCAUAGGAGCAGCUGUGCGCAUUUGGAUUGUCGGCCACAGCAUCAUGCACUGAGCUGGCAAGCACCCUGACGAGUCUGGACUGGGGGCGCCAUCUCGGCCUUCCUGCCCAUGUUUCUAGCUCCAGUCCGCAUCUGGAUUGUGGGGCACAGCAUCGUUUACUGGGCUGGCAUCAGAGCUAGGCAGUCUGGAAGGGGACUGGGUCUUGGCCUCCCGCAGCAUGUGCAGGUGUUGUGGAUGUCCAGGCGCAGAAUGCAGUAGAGCGAAUUCAUCCCGCUAAUUAAGCAGAGGGUGCUUUCGGAUGGCCCCCAUGGCAAUUGUGGUUCAGCUGGGGGAACGAUGUGGCAACUUAUGAUUGCUUUACUUUGCGCUCCACGAUUCAGAGAGACUUGGGUGAAUUGGUGACCUUAAUACCCACAGUUAAAAUAUUUUGGUCACAAUUGCUGCAAAGGCGCAAUUGGCACGGCAUUUCUCGACCUGAGGCUGCUGAAAGGGCCAGGAAGCGCAUUAAUUCUGCAGUGUGUAAGAAGGUGGCGGAUUUGGGUGGAUUGGUUAUUUCCCGCCCGGAUAUUACCUUCAAGGCUCUGGCCCUUUACCGCAAUGAUGGAGUACAUCUCUCUGUACUGGGGAAUGAUGUUUGGUUGGAUGCGGUAACUGCAAGGUUGAAGGUUGGGUUGGGAUUGUGAGUGGUUGGCGGCGAGCGUAAAGGGCUCGAUUGGCGGUUAGGCAUUGGUUAUAAAUUGGUGGAGGAGGGGUUAGGAUAGGCUGGGCCUGCCCCUCCAUGGUUGCUGCGGAAAGGGAAUUCCGUUAAAGGAAUCCUGGGGCUUGCCAUCUUUUCGUCCAAUCCCUGGAAUGGGACUAGGGCCGGCAAGCCUUCGGGAGCAUGCGGAUGAGAAUUGAGGGUCUGUGGCCCAGCUCCAUUUUUCUCCGACUUGCUUUCCCCGCACUGUCUUUCGGUGGUGCCCGGAAGUCAGUUCUGUCCCCAGGCGGGGGACAGAUAGUCUUAACCAAUGCCUAAACAACCACUCACGGUUUUGUAUUUAAAUAAAGUUGUGGCCAAAAUUAUGCCAAAAACCUUAAACAAAAAUUAAGUGUGCGUUGUGAGUUAUUUGGGGGGUGGCUUGGGGACCUCGACACGCAAAGCGUGUUCUCCUUCAUGGAGAGCACGUGUUGCGGUGGGGUCUGCUGAGCCACCCCUCUGUUACCAGGCAGGGUCUCUAAAGAUGGCCUGGGGCAGUGAUUGGUUCACUGGGUUGCUGGGGUAAAAGUUAUGUUGCAAUUUUGGUGGGAGGGGUAAAAUGUUUAAAUACUCUGCACGCAGCCUGGAGCUUUCUCUUUGCUGCGUGCAACGGAUCACCCGCCCACCCGCCCUUGAGUAAGGGGUUGUUGCAUUGACCUUGCUAUGCCUGUCAUGGGGUCGUCUGCCGUUGGGGCAGGGGCCUGGUAGGAAUUUUGUCCAUCUGGCUGAUUGGCUGGGCCAUUUGGUUUUUGCCUACUGCGUAGCAAAUCGUCACAACUUGUAAGGUUGUGGUUAGGCAUUGGUUAUAAAUUGGUGGAGGAGGGGUUAGGAUAGGCUGGGCCUGCCCCUCCAUGGUUGCUGCGGAAAGGGAAUUCCGUUAAAGGAAUCCUGGGGCUUGCCAUCUUUUCGUCCAAUCCCUGGAAUGGGACUAGGGCCGGCAAGCCUUCGGGAGCAUGCGGGUGAGAAUUGAGGGUCUGUGGCCCAGCUCCAUUUUCUCCGACUUGCUUUCCCCGCACUGUCUUUCGGUGGUGCCCGGAAGUCAGUUCUGUCCCCAGGCGGGGGACAGAUAGUCUUAACCAAUGCCUAAACAACCACUCACGGUUUUGUAUUUAAAUAAAGUUGUGGCCAAAAUUAUGCCAAAAACCUUAAACAAAAAUUAAGUGUGCGUUGUGAGUUAUUUGGGGGGUGGCUUGGGGACCUCGACACGCAA
rnacentral:lncRNA from 1 species